UACGUAGGUGGCGAGCGUUGUCCGGAAUUACUGGGUGUAAAGCGCGUGUAGGCGGCAGGCCAAGUCGGUGGUGAAAGCGCCCGGCUCAACUGGGCGAGGUCCAUGGAAACUGGUCAGCUGGAGGACGGUAGAGGCGAGUGGAAUUCCCGGUGUAGUGGUGAAAUGCGUAGAGAUCGGGAGGAACACCUGUGGCGAAGGCGGCUCGCUGGGCCGGUCCUGACGCUGAAACGCGAAGGCGUGGGGGAGCGAACGGG
rnacentral:rRNA from 1 species